GGUGCCUGCUGACACUCUCGCCCUCUCUGACCCAGGCUGGAAGAUGUCAGGAGGGGCCCUGGCCGGAGCGAGGGGAGGCUGCAGAGCUGUGUUAUCUUGGAUAAAUUACUUAGCCUCUCUGAGCCUCCCUGUUCUCAGCUGGAAAGUGGAGAUAAAAAUCACUUGUAGGCUGUUGUGAGAAGAAUGAGAUGACGCCCGCAAAGCACAGCGACACAGCGUCAGAGCUCCGCGCAGGAUCAGGGAGCAUAAUGUACCCAACACACGCCUGCCAUGUGGCUGUGGAGCCCUGGGUACAGCAGGCAGAGAGAUGGAGACGGCCACCCUGGUAAUACUGAGAACUCCCUGCUAAGAACUUCCCUGCACCCAGUGUUGAGUGGAAUACUCAGAACCUGCCAGAGCUGCAUCCGGGCACCUGCCUUGGCACCAGUGAGAAGGAACCAAGCCUGAGCUCAUCAGUGGCCAAAUCUUGUCCUGAAAAAUCAAUACAGCUUUCCCUGUUACGCAAUAAGCGAGUUCCUGAAAAGUUGGAGGUAAAUUAAUUUCUUCCCCAGUUCAACACAUAAUGAGCAUCAGUGUCAGCUUAACAUGUGGGACACACACGCGUGUGCAUAUGCAUGCACACACAUGCCGUCAGCUAUGAUUCUGGCUUCCAGAGACACAUUUAAAUGCACCAAAGGAGCUUGCUGAUGGCAUCUCUUGGUGGAAC